CGAAAGCGAAUCUGGACAGUACAGUAGAGAGAAUGCCGGUAUAAGUAACGAGAGUAAGGCGAGAAACCUUACCGUCGAAAGCCUAAGGAUUCCUGGGGAAGGAUAAUCCGCCCAGGGUAAGUCGGGACCUAAGCCGAGGCGAAAGCGUAGGCGAUGGAGAACCGGUAAUAAAUCCGGUACCACCGAAAUCCGCCAAAAGAGAAGCAAGGACGCAGCGAGAUAAGAAAAGCGUGCGGUUGGUAGAGCACGUCCAAGCAGCGACGAAAAGAGCUUUGAGUAAAGUACCAAAGCUCAUAAGAGCUGUGAAGGGGAGCCGUAAGGCGAAGUUUCGAAGGGGCUGCCAAGAAAAGUUGCUAUCGAGGAUGAGGUGCCCGUACCACAAACCGACACAGGUAGGCGAGGAGAGAAUCCAAAGACGAGCGGGAGAACCCUCAUUAAGGAACUCGGCAAAAAGACUCCGUAACUUCGGGAGAAGGAGUGCCGAAAGGCCGCAGAGAAGAGGCCCAAGCGACUGUUUACCAAAAACACAGGUUUCUGCUAAGUCGAAAGACGAAGUAUAGGAGCUGACGCCUGCCCGGUGCUGGAAGGUUAAGGGGAAGGGUCAGGAGAAAAUCCGAAGCUCUGAACUUAAGCCCCAGUAAACGGCGGCCGUAACUAUAACGGUCCUAAGGUAGCGAAAUUCCUUGUCGGGUAAGUUCCGACCUGCACGAAAGGCGUAACGACUUGGGCGCUGUCUUGAAGGGGGACCCGGUGAAAUUGUAGUACUCGUGAAGAUGCGAGUUACCCGCGACAGGACAGAAAGACCCCAUGGAGCUUUACUGCAGCUUGUCACUGAAUUUUAGUAAUAUCUGUACAGGAUAGGUGGGAGGCUAAGAUGUAUGGGCGCCAGCCUAUAUGGAGCCAACGUUGGGAUACCACCCUGAUAUUACCGAAAUUCUAACAUAUAAGCCGUAAACCGGCAUAUGGACACUGACAGGCGGGCAGUUUGACUGGGGCGGUCGCCUCCUAAAAAGUAACGGAGGCGUCCAAAGGUUACCUCAGCGCGGAAGGAAAUCGCGCGUAAGAGUGCAAAGGCAGAAGGUAGCCUAACUGCGAGAAAGACAAUUCGAGCAGGGACGAAAGUCGGGCUUAGUGAUCCGGCGGUAGAGAAUGGGAUUGCCGUCGCUCAACGGAUAAAAGCUACCCUGGGGAUAACAGGCUGAUCUCCCCCAAGAGUCCACAUCGACGGGGAGGUUUGGCACCUCGAUGUCGGCUCAUCGCAUCCUGGGGCUGAAGUAGGUCCCAAGGGUUGGGCUGUUCGCCCAUUAAAGCGGUACGCGAGCUGGGUUCAGAACGUCGUGAGACAGUUCGGUCCCUAUCCGUCGCGGGCGCAGGAAAUUUGAGAGGAUCUGCCCUUAGUACGAGAGGACCGGGGUGGACAAACCGAUGGUGUACCAGUUGCAAAGCCUUUUGCACAGCUGGGUAGCCAAGUUUGGAAGGGAUAAACGCUGAAAGCAUCUAAGCGUGAAACCCACCUCAAGAUAAGAUUUCCCAUCCGAAAGGAGUAAGACACCUUGAAGAAGACGAGGUAGAUAGGCCGGAGGUGUAAGAGUAGAAAUACUUUGAGCUGACCGGUACUAAUAAGUCGAGGACUUGACCUU
rnacentral:rRNA from 1 species